rnacentral:rRNA from 1 species
AAGACCUUGCACUUUUGGAGCGGCCGAUGUCUGAUUAGCUAGUUGGUGGGGUAAUGGCCUACCAAAGCUUCGAUCAGUAGCUGGUCUGAGGGGACGGCCAGCCACACUGGGACUGAGACACGGCCCAGACUCCUACGGGAGGCAGCAGUGGGGAAUUUUGGACAAUGGGCGCAAGCCUGAUCCAGCCAUGCCGCGUGAGUGAAGAAGGCCUUCGGGUUGUAAAGCUCUUUCAGCCGGGAAGAAAAGGUUGCGACUAAUAAUCGCAAUUCAUGACGGUACCGAAAGAAGAAGCACCGGCUAACUACGUGCCAGCAGCCGCGGUAAUACGUAGGGUGCGAGCGUUAAUCGGAAUUACUGGGCGUAAAGGGUGCGCAGGCGGUUUUGUAAGUCAGAUGUGAAAUCCCCGGGCUUAACCUGGGAACU